ACUCACAAGAAGGAAGGCUACGAACAGGAAUUCAGAGCUUUUAUAUAGACUUUAAAAUACAUGUAAAAAAUCAGUUUUAGAAACUGAUCCGUUACAUCAACUAAUUAAGCAAUUUUCUAGAAAGCCAUAUGUAUAUGUUGCAAACCUGUGAUAGCAGGCAGCUGUCCUGACUCCUUAUCGAGUGUGGAAUGAUGGAGUGUGUAAGCUAACGUUAGCUAUUUCUGCAGUUCUUCCUAGCUAGCGAACGAAAAAAAAGCAUUACAUCAUAAGCAAGUUGCAACAGUCUAACUAACAGUGGAUGGUACCAGAUAAGCCAACUGAACCAAACAAGGCUGGCUGUGGUGUUGUCGUGAGGAGACUGCUUUCUGCUGCACCAGCUGCAUGAGACAUGCAGAGCUCUGAGCAUCUCUAACAGGCAGCACUCUGUGGAACCAUGGACUGUUCUGAGUCCCAGUCCCAGUCCCAGGGUGACGGCGAGAAAGCUCUGCUCCAUGCAGAGAUCAGAGAGCACCCCACCACAUCAGCUGCCUUAAUUCCCAGUGAUGACCCCGUCCUAUUGACCCCAGGGAGGAUGAGCCAGCGAAGCCAGGGGAAGGAGCGAGAGAAGAGGGAGGAAAAGGAGCGAGAGAAGGAGAAGGAGCGACAGAAGAGGGAGG